UACGGAGGGUGCAAACGUUAUCCGGAAUCACUGGGCGUAAAGCGCAUGUAGGUGGUUUUGUAAGUGGGUGAUUAAAGACCGAUGCUUAACAUCGGGACUGUUGCCUAUACUGCAUGACUAGAGGAUGACAGGGGUAAGCGGAACUUUAGGUGUAGGAGUGAAAUCCGUAGAUAUCUAAAGGAAUACCAAUGGCGAAGGCAGCUUACUAUGGUGUCAUUGACACUGAGGCACGAAAGCGUGGGGAUCAAACAGG
rnacentral:rRNA from 1 species